rnacentral:rRNA from 1 species
GAUAUGGCUCAGAUUGAACGCUGGCGGCGUGCUUAACACAUGCAAGUCGCGCGUGAAAGGACUUCGGUCCGAGUAAAGCGGCGCACGGGUGAGUAACGCGUGGAUGAUCUACCCAUGAGUUAGGAAUAACGGCUGGAAACGGUCGCUAAUACCAAAUACGCUCCGAUUUCAACUUCGGGGGAAAGGUGGCCUCUGCUUGCAAGCUACUGCUCAUGGAUGAGUCCGCGUCCCAUUAGCUAGUUGGUGGGGUAACGGCCCACCAAGGCGACGAUGGGUAGCCGGUCUGAGAGGAUGACCGGCCACACUGGGACUGGAACACGGCCCAGACUCCUACGGGAGGCAGCAGUGGGGAAUAUUGCGCAAUGGGCGAAAGCCUGACGCAGCGACGCCGCGUGAGGGAUGAAGGUCCUCGGAUCGUAAACCUCUGUCAGGAGGGAAGAACCGCCACGGUGCUAAUCAGCCGUGGUCUGACGGUACCUCCAAAGGAAGCACCGGCUAACUCCGUGCCAGCAGCGGC